rnacentral:lncRNA from 1 species
GAUUUAGUGACUUUCAAGUCAAGCAAAUUAGUUGAUGAACAGGGAUCAUACGAGAAUAUCGUUCUUAAUAGAAAAGGCAGAGAUGAAUAAAAACCCUUAAGAUCAAAACACCGAAAGGAUUAAGCCAAUUGAGUUCCAAUCAGCAUACUUUUCAGUAGGCCAAAGAGGGUAUCUGCAGCAAUGCUCAAUGAGUUCUUUUCCAAAAUUGGUACCUAAGUGAUGAUGUGAUUGAUACUAUCAUAAUAUAGGGGGAAACACUGAUGGCCCUUCUCCCCCUCACUAUUUGCAGCACUUCCUUCGGGACAGUUGGUGGUCUUGUUAGAGACAGAAGAGCCCAGCCAGCAUAUCCAGGGCUAGGUAUUUCCGACCUAUAAUGGUGCAUCUGGGAGAGACUGGAGAUGAAUGGGCUGAGAGUUCUGACCGUCAAAUGAUGAAGCUCACGUGAGUGCCACUGUGAAUACAGUUAUUUCUGGGAGUAAACCUUCUUUUCCCCUUGUCUCCUUGGACUUUGGUAGAAUGUCUUCUCAUGAACGUCUCGGUGGGUUCUGUCCUUGCUUAACAAAUCCGGCUCCUAGGUCGUCUGUGUAGUACAUGCUCUCAGAAUCUCCAAUGUGCCAGACCCAGGCAGCUGUUCCUGUUUGAUUGUCGACUCAACUAUGAACUGUUCCUCCUGACAUUUGCUUGUGAAGAUAGCUUUGGCAGACUUGUGAAGAAGCAGACAAGGCGAUUUUGUGUCGGUGAAAAUGCAUCAACAUUUUAAUUGUUUUAGUUCCUUUUCUGUCCAGAGAGCUCUUGAAACUUUGCCCAUUCUGCCUGGAAAUCCUGGACAUUGAUUCUGCCUUGGGGGUUCGUGGUGCUCAGUGACUAUUAAAGAGAAGUCCAGGAGAUGGCCACUGGAGUGAUGAAACCAGCAUCUUAUGGAAAGGUCUCAGCCAAAACCCUGGAAGGGUAGAGGAAAAAAUUGUUUUUCCUUCUUCCUAAUAUAUUUUUCAUUCAUCGCAUUGGAAAUUCAAAAGUCCACCAUCUCGCUCUCUCUUUUUGGUUUGCACCAGGUGUGUGUCACUUCACGUACAGCAUUUAUGACUCAGAAACAGCUCUAUUUCAAGUCCGUGUUUGAUAGCUUAUGUCAGAGAACUAUAUGGAGCAAACGUCAUGGUAAUGAAAAUCUCAGAGGAGAAGGAGACUUUGGAGCAGGACAACUUGGCCUUGAAUCUUGGUUAUAAUACCAGCUAUUUGGCAUAAGUCCCUAGUUUCUACACGUGUAAAAUGUGAGUAAUGAUGAUAAUAGCACCUACCUCACAGGAUGUUUUUAAGAUUAAGUGAGAUAACAGAUGAAAAGCACCCAGCAUAUUACUUGAGCGAAACACACUAAAUCUUGAAGAGCCAGUAGAUAUUGCUGUAAUUCUUUCUAGAUCAGUAAACUUCAUGAAGGAGGUGGGGAUGGUGGUAGAGCAGCCAUCUAUUAUAUUUCCAACCCAACCAGCUGCCUCACCAUUAU